rnacentral:rRNA from 1 species
AUGGUGUCAUUAGACGUUGUGUACCUGAGCAUGAACAGGAACAGAUCCUACGCAAAGGCCUAUGGAGGACACCAUGCUGGAGAAAGAACUGCACAUAAGGUAUUGCAAUCUGGUUUUUAUUGGCCUACCCUCUUCAAAGAUGCCCGUAAGUUUGUCUUGUCUUGUGAUGAAUGUCAAAGAAUUGGUAAUAUUACUAGACAUCAAGAAAUGCCUAUGAAUUAUUCACUUGUUAUUAAACCAUUUGAUGUUUGGGGCUUUGAUUAUAUGGGACCGUUUCCUUCCUCUAAUGGGUAUACACAUAUUUUAGUUGCUGUUGAUUACGUUACUAAGUGGGUAGAAGCUAUUCCGACUAGCAGUGCUAAUCAUAACACCUCUAUUAAGAUCCUUAAAGAAGUUAUUUUUCCGAGGUUUGGAAUCCCUAGAUACUUAAUGACUGAUGGUGGUUCACAUUUUAUUCAUGGUGCCUUUCGUAAAAUGCUUGCUAAGUAUGAUGUUAAUCAUAGAAUUGCAUCUCCAUAUCACCCACAGUCUAGUGGUCAAGUAGAAUUGAGUAAUAGAGAGAUCAAGUUAAUUUUGCAAAAGACUGUUAAUAGAUCUAGAAAGAAUUGUUCCAAGAAACUUGAUGAU